AACAAAGUCGUCCAAUCACAAAAAAAUCUGAAAGGGGAUUUUUGCUGUAUCUUGGCUCAGAUGGUGGAUCUCAGAUCGGGUUAGUUGGUCCAGAUGUCGGAGGACCAGCCGGCCGAGGCCUCCCUCCGGGGGGAGGAGGGUCUGGAGGCUGGGGAGGGCGACACGGAGCCCAGCAUGCUGCUGCAGAAGCUCAAGAGCAACAUCUCGAAGAGUGUUCAGACCAAAGUGGAUCAGAUCCUGCAAGAAGUUCAGCGUUUCUCCGACAACGACAAGCUGUAC